CAACCAUCAAGCCCCAGGCUUGCGUUGGGUCCCUGCGGCUGUCCGCAGGCCCUGAAAUACAGUGGCGGGCUCGCUAGUCACUCCGAGCGCAGUAAUACAUCUCGCUCAGGGCGUGCGGCGGGUGCCGGCCGUGAAACAACCCCUUCUAAA
rnacentral:misc_RNA from 2 species